CCUACGGGAGGCAGCAGUGAGGAAUAUUGGUCAAUGGACGAGAGUCUGAACCAGCCAAGUAGCGUGAAGGAUGACUGCCCUAUGGGUUGUAAACUUCUUUUAUAUGGGAAUAAAAUGUUCCACGUGUGGGAUUUUGUAUGUACCAUAUGAAUAAGGAUCGGCUAACUCCGUGCCAGCAGCCGCGGUAAUACGGAGGAUCCGAUCGUUUUCCGGAUUUAUUGGGUUUAAAGGGAGCGUAGGUGGAUUGUUAAGUCAGGUGGGAAAGUUUGCGGGUCAAACGUAAAAUUGCAGUUGAAACUGGCAGUCUUGAGUACAGUAGAGGUGUGCGGAAUUCGUGGUGUAGCGGUGAAAUGCUUAGAUAUCACGAAGAACUCCGAUUGCGAAGGCAGCUCACUGGACUGCAACUGACACUGAGGCUCGAAAGUGUGGGUAUCAAACAGGAUUAGAUACCCCAGUAGUC
rnacentral:rRNA from 1 species